UUCUAUCACUUCAAUAAAUUUAAUUUUCUUGUCUUGUUUUAGGUCUCUAGAAAUGUAAAACAUGUGACAGUAUUUGAAAUAUUAGGAGUUUGGCAAUUGCAUUGUACAAUCAAGUAGUGUGAUUGAACCCUUUGGAAGUACAAUCUCCCACUCUCAAUCUGUGCUACUUAAAGAAGAAACGUUCUGAAUAUUAAGGACAAAUAAAUUCUCAUUUCCUGUAUUCUAUCGGUUUCUCAGAAUUGUGCUUCAGUUUAGUUUGUUUCAUAUGAGGAUCAUGGCUCAUUAUUCAAUGUUGUGGUUUUUCUUGAAUUCUCUUAUUGCCUUUCAUUUACCUUGUUAACUAAGAUAUACACUGGCCAUUUUAUUUUUAGAUCAUCGUGCCUUUUCAUCAUACCACUUAACAUAGGAAGGUGACUGUCUUCUUAAAGACUGUCUCUGGUAGCUCACUAAGUUCCUUUUUCUAAUUUGAAUUUAUUGCCUUCUAUGUCUGCUGCUGAGCUAUGAUUCUGGGAUUUAAUUUCAUUGCUCUAUUGGCUAAAUUUGCAGUUUCUUACAUGCCAAGUAUUUCCCUUUCACCAAACACAAUAAUUUAUUGAAUUAUAUUCUGUAGUAACUUUUAAAAAAACAUACACAAGAGAAAUAAACUUUCUGAAGCUUUGCAUGUCUGAAAAUGGCCUUAUUUUCCAUUUACACUCGACUGGCACAUUUUAAUUUUCCAAGAAACAUUAGAUAUCUAUAAUAGCCUUUUAUGCUAUAAAUGCACAUUAGUAUGUCUAUACCCUGUGGAAAUUAAAAUCCAAGUGAAUCAGUAAUUACACAGUUAUGGGAUGAAAUAAAUUCUUGGACUUCUCCCCAUUAGAGUCCCCACAGUGAAGCAAUAUUCUACACUUUACCUUUAGCCACUGUUUUGUACCAGUUGGGAAAUCAAAACUUUCAUUAAACCAGCCUUCCUGGUAGAUACUUGGAAGAAUUACAACACUCUUUAGCAUGUUUAGAAAUGUCCUUAUUCCUGCCCACAUUUUACAGAGACAUAAUCACGUGGUAGGUGCCUUUGGGACUUUUGAAAUACAUUCUGUGAACAAGAAGAAAUGCAAACAUGUUGGCAAAACUGAUUAUUUUCAUUGUGGAUCUCAUGCUUGCUUUGGCCAUUUUUGUUAUCUUUUAUUUAAUGGCUGCCACUGGUAUUUUCAUCGCGGUCAUUUUCUAUAUUUUCAAAGGGGAGAUGGAAAAAAACUUUGACUUCAGCAAGCGCCGAAUCUGGGCGCUGGAUUCUAGCAAUGCUACUGAGGAGCCUUUGGCAGGUGGCGCAGAGAAAGUCAGCUCCAAGCUCCUUCCUGUCCAUUUUCCAGCUGUAGGAGAAGGGUCUUUCCUGCCCAAGGAGAGUGGUCCCGUCUUCUAAAGAGCGAGGAGCUCUCUGAGGUGGAGGAGGCAUGUGAAGACUUCCCAGAACACUGCACCCGCCUGACUGAGAGGUACUUUUUAAGGUCAUUCAAACUGUCAUCUACACAUGAAUAACAAUGAAAUUCUCAUAAAGAAGCAGAAAUACCCAGGAGGCAUGAAGAGUCAUCAUGCUUCAAAAGUGCAUGUAUUAGUACUUCAUGACUUCAGGAAAAGUAGACCCCAUAAUUCUUAAAAGCUCAACCUUGGAGAGGAGAAACAUGCUGUUUGAUGACAUAGCACUGAAACUUGUUGAAAUAUCCUUGGAGCUUGAGAUGUCGAGAGCCAUCAAAAUGCUCUCAAGAAUUAAAUUGAAAAAUGUUGCUUCAAAAUGUCUUAGCCAACCAAAUACAAACAUUUUUGUCAUUGUGACAAAAAAAAAGCUCGCCAAUUGCCUUUGCUAGUCUCAGCACAGCCCAAGAGGAGCAUCCUUCAUGAGCCAACUGAAAAACAGUGUGUCGUCUAUGCUUCUGACCAGAGGGGCAUCUCUUGUCACCAUAACAUUAUGUAUUAGGACUUCAUGUAUUAUGUAUUAUGUCAACACUUUAUUCAUUAUGCUGAUCAUACUCUGUAUUUCACUUGCUCUGGUUAUUCGUAAAGCUUUUCCUAUUUCAUCAUUAGAUUAUCCUUAAAUUUUAGCAACUGCA